rnacentral:rRNA from 1 species
CCUACGGGGGGCAGCAGUGAGGAAUAUUGGUCAAUGGACGAGAGUCUGAACCAGCCAAGUCGCGUGAAGGUUGAUUGCCCUAUGGGUUGUAAACUUCUUUUAUAUGGGACUAAAACAGGGUAUGCAUACCCUCUUGUAUGUAUCAUAUGAAUAAGGAUCGGCUAAUUCCGGGCCAGCAGCCGCGUUAAUACGGGGGUUCCGAGCGUUAUCCGGAUUUAUUGGGUUUAAGGGGAGCGUAGGUGGAUUGUUAAGUCAGUUGUGAAAGUUUGCGGAUCAACCGGAAAAUUGCAGUUGAAACUGGCAGUCUUGAGUACAGUAGAGGUGGGCGGAAUGCGUGGUGUAGCGGUGAAAUGCUUAGAUAUCACGAAGAACGCCGAUUGCGAAGGCAGCUCACUGGACUGCAACUGACACUGAUGCUCGAAAGUGUGGGUAUCAAACAGGAUUAGAUACCCUUGUAGUC